AACGAACGCUGGCGGCAGGCUUAACACAUGCAAGUCGAACGCCCCGCAAGGGGAGUGGCAGACGGGUGAGUAACGCGUGGGAAUCUACCCAGUUCUACGGAACAACAGGUGGAAACGACUGCUAAUACCGUAUACGCCCCAAGGGGGAAAGAUUUAUCGGUAUUGGAUGAGCCCGCGUUGGAUUAGCUAGUUGGUGAGGUAAUGGCUCACCAAGGCGACGAUCCAUAGCUGGUCUGAGAGGAUGAUCAGCCACACUGGGACUGAGUCACGGCCCAGACUCCUACGGGAGGCAGCAGUGGGGAAUAUUGGACAAUGGGCGAAAGCCUGAUCCAGCCAUGCCGCGUGAGUGAUGAAGGCCUUAGGGUUGUAAAGCUCUUUCAGGUGGGAAGAUAAUGACGGUACCACCAGAAGAAGCCCCGGCUAACUUCGUGCCAUCCGCCGCAGUAACAC
rnacentral:rRNA from 1 species